rnacentral:rRNA from 1 species
GACGAACGCUGGCGGCGGGCUUAACACAUGCAAGUCGAACGCCCCGGAGAGGGGGUGGCAGUCGGGUUGGUAGCGCGUCGGAACGUACCCUUUUCUGCGGAAUACCUCUGGCAUACUGGUAUUAAUCCCGUAUACGCCCUACGGAGGACAGGUUUAUCGGGGACGGCUUGGGCCGCGUUGGAGUAGCUAGUUGGUGGGGUAAAGGCCUACCCAGGCGACGUUCCAUAGCUGGGCUGAGAGGAUGAUCAGCCACAUUGGGACUGAGACACGGCCCAAGCUCCUACGGGAGGAAGCAGGGGGGAAUAUUGGAGAAUGGGCGCAAGCGUGAUCCAGCCAUGCCGGGUGUGUGAGGAAGGCGUUAGGGUUGUAAAGCUCUUUCAUCGAUGAAGAUAAUGACGGUAGUCGGAUAAGAAGCCCCGGCUAACUACGUG